rnacentral:rRNA from 1 species
UGCGACCGUUAUUCGGAAUCACUGGGCUUAAAGCGCGUGUAGGCGGGAGGGCACGUCCGUCGCUGAAAUCCCCCGGCUCAACCGGGGAACGGGCGCGGAUACGACCUUCCUGGAGGGGCGUAGGGGGACCUGGAACUUCCGGUGGAGCGGUGAAAUGCGUUGAGAUCGGAAGGAACGCCCGUGGCGAAAGCGGUCUGCUGGGCCGUUGCUGACGCUGAGGCGCGACAGCGUGGGGAGCAAACAGG